UACGUAGGGUGCGAGCGUUAAUCGGAAUUACUGGGCGUAAAGCGUGCGUAGGCGGUCCGCGAAGUCUGAUGUGAAAGCCCCGGGCUCAACCUGGGAACUGCAUUGGAAACUAACGGGCUCGAGUGUGGCAGAGGGGGGUGGAAUUCCACGUGUAGCAGUGAAAUGCGUAGAUAUUGGGAGGAACACCAGUGGCGAAGGCGGCUACCUGGACCGGUUCUGACGCUGAGGCGCGAAAGCGUGGGUAGCAAACAGG
rnacentral:rRNA from 1 species